GUUGCGUCACGGGUCGAUUUAAUCACGACUUAUGAGUGACAAUAUACUCGAUGUCGAAGGCAUUGUAACCCAACAAGUGGGGAGUUUGAUUUGGUUGGGACAAAUCGAACGAUCUGCGGUAGCAGCGACAAUGACGUGGUGUGGAUGCAAGUUUUGUGCCAUGCCCGGAUGAUGUUGUUACUUUGUGAUGUUGAUGAGAUUUGUCAAUUGUUGUUGCGAUGUCAAGUUGUUUUGGGGACCUGGCUUGAUGCAUUGUUGGUGAUGACAUUCGUCUCGAGGUGAUGCGGUGUCAUAUUGCCUGUGUAUCCUGGUUUUGAGCUAUUUGAGCUUAAAACAUGUGGAUUAUCGGUUAGCGAUACGGCAUCGCUCCCUUGGUUGAUGAAAGUCGUCCGAUGAUGCUGUGGUUUGUUAGUUUUCUUCUCGCAUCGCUCGGUGCAUUCUGGGGUCAUUUUGGCUGUUGGCAGCUUGCUUGGCAAUUGAGCUUCGUGGGUUGUUACUGGUUGGGUGUCUUCGGGGAUGUCUAUCGUAAAGGUGCAUGAGUGGUGUUUGGUUUGUUACAGGUGGUCGGCUCUUUGCUUGUGCAACAACUUCCACCUGGCAUACCUCUUCAGUCUUGUGUCAAUGCUUGUAUUGCAUUGAAWGCACGACGGGUUUCUUGUGUUGCAUGCCUAAUUAAUGGUAUCGUUUGAUGAAUUGGUUUUCCUUUCGUCUUGUGUCGCCUAUGCGAUGUGAGAUGAACCUUGAAGCAGCCUUUGUGAUCCACUCUUUUGAUGCAUACGCAUUGAUUUUGUGGCCCAUUGAGUGUUGCUUGGUCUCAUGGAUAUGGAACCUGGUGUGGGCAUGGAAUCCUAAUGGUUCCUUGUUUGCCCAAGUUUAGCUUUUCUAAAACGAUUGUCU
rnacentral:misc_RNA from 1 species